rnacentral:lncRNA from 1 species
CAGAGGUGGGAGUACGGACAGAAGAUAGACGUAAGUCUUCAGCAGAUCGUAAGUGCCUAGACGAGACAUACUUGUGUAUAAGGGAGGACAGCUAGGUGGGAGCAGCAUUAUGUAGAGAUUUGAAAGCAAGAACCAGAAUUUUAAAUUGAGCUCCAUAUUUUAUAGGAAGCCAAUGUAGGGACUGACAGAAGGGUGAGGCAUGGGAGGUGCGGGCGGACAGGAAGAUGAGCCUCGCCGCCGCAUUCAUUAUGG